UUCCGGUUGAUCCUGCCGGACCUUACUGCUAUCGGGGUGGGACUAAGACAUGCGAGUCGAGCGUCUCUAGCUAUGUUGAGACGCGGCAGACGGCUCAGUAACACGUGGCUAACCUACCCUCAGGACGAGGAUAAACCCGGGAAACUGGGGCUAAUACUCGAUAGGUGAGAAUGUCUGGAAUGAUUUCUCAUUCAAAGGGCUUUAGAAACAUGCUUCUAAAGUCGCCUGGGGAUGGGGCCGCGUCCGAUCAGGUUGUUGGUGAGGUAACGGCUCACCAAGCCUAUAACCGGUACGGGCCGUGAGAGCGGUAGCCCGGAGAUGGGUACUGAGACAAGGACCCAGGCCCUACGGGGCGCAGCAGUCGCGAAAACUCCGCAAUGCACGAAAGUGUGACGGGGCUACCCCGAGUGCCAUCCGCUGAGGAUGGCUUUUCUUUGGUGUAACUAGCCGGGGGAAUAAGGAGAGGGCAAGACUGGUGUCAGCCGCCGCGGUAAUACCAGCUCUCCGAGUGGUAGGGAUGAUUAUUGGGCUUAAAGCGUCCGUAGCCGGCUUAGCAAGUCUCCUGUUAAAUUCAGCGACCUAAUCGUUGAGCCGCGGGAGAUACUACUAGGCUAGGAGGCGGGAGAGGUCGACGGUACUUCUGGGGUAGGGGUGAAAUCCUAUAAUCCCGGGAGGACCACCAGUGGCGAAGGCUGUUGACUAGAACGCGCUCGACGGUGAGGGACGAAAGCUGGGGGAGCGAACCGGAUUAGAUACCCGGGUAGUCCCAGCCGUAAACGAUGCGGGCUAGGUGUUGGGGUGGCUACGUGCCACUUCAGUGCCGCAGGGAAGCCAUUAAGCCCGCCGCCUGGGAGUACGGCCGCAGGCUGAAACUUAAAGAAUUGUCGGGGGAGCACCACAGGCGUGAAGCUUGCGGUCAUUGAAAUCAACGCGGUA
rnacentral:rRNA from 1 species